rnacentral:lncRNA from 1 species
UUGGUAUCUUUCAUGAGAUCUUUUGAAAAAAAAAAAAAAUUAUAUUCACAAAGUGCUUUUCGUUUCUUAUAUAUGUGAGCUAUUUGAUUGUCUCAAAAUAUUUUCUCUCACAUAUAAUUGAGUGAUUAUAAGCUUUUAAGCAUUGCCUUGAAUUCUGAGAGAAGAAAGAGUGGAUACACCUUGUGAGGAUUUGAAUCAUACUUGUUUGAAGCAUGCUUAACAGAAACCAUCACCAUUGUUCCAACCAAGUCCUACUUGUGUAUAUGUAAAUUAUGUGUUUUAAUUAACUCUCGAAUGCCAAAACAUUGAUUCUUGGCUGAGUGCUAAUCUUGGUGUUAUGAAAGUAAGAGAUUGCUGAGACAAAAAGUUGAAGGGCAAUAGAGUCAUUGUUUGUGUAGAGUCUUUAAAUUUUCGUUGAGUCUUAGUUGAGUCUUUGUGUGAUUUUGCUAAGGGACUAGCAAAAGCUAAGUGUGGGGGAAUUUGAUAGGAGCAUUUUAAUGCGACGUUUUAACUGUUAUUUCCCUACAUUUUCUGCGUUAUUUCCUUAAUAAAACUCUGUUUAGGAAAGUUUCCAUUCUUCGAAUGGGAAAGUUCCUAAUUGUAGAAAGUUUCCGUUUUGUAGUUUUGGGAAUAAAUAAGCUGAAUUGAGUUCAUAAAUGGAACGAGAAGCUUCAUGAAGAUGACAUGGC